UACGUAGGUGGCGAGCGUUGUCCGGAAUUACUGGGUGUAAAGGGCGUGUAGGCGGGAGAGUAAGUCAGAUGUGAAAUACCAUGGCUCAACUGUGGGGGUGCAUCUGAAACUAUUUUUCUUGAGUGCUGGAGAGGAAAGCGGAAUUCCUAGUGUAGCGGUGAAAUGCGUAGAUAUUAGGAGGAACACCAGUGGCGAAGGCGGCUUUCUGGACAGUAACUGACGCUGAGGCGCGAAAGCGUGGGGAG
rnacentral:rRNA from 1 species